UACGUAGGCAGCAAGCGUUGUUCGGAGUUACUGGGCGUAAAGAGUGCGUAGGCGGUUUCGUAAGUUUGGUGUGAAAUCUCCCGGCUUAACUGGGAGGGUGCGCCGAAAACUGCGGGGCUGGAGUGUGGGAGAGGUAAGCGGAAUUCCUGGUGUAGCGGUGAAAUGCGUAGAUAUCAGGAGGAACACCGGUGGUGUAGACGGCUCUCUGGACCGUAACUGACGCUGAGACACGAAAGCGUGGGUAGCAAACAGG
rnacentral:rRNA from 1 species